AGCCCGGGAAACUGGGUAUAAUACCCGAUAGGUCUCGAUUGCUGGAAUGCAUCGAGAUUAAAGCUCCGGCGCCUAAGGAUGGGUCUGCGGCCUAUCAGGUAGUAGUGGGUGUAGCGUACCUACUAGCUACGACGGGUACGGGUUGUGAGAGCAAGAGCCCGGAGAUGGAUUCUGAGACACGAAUCCAGGCCCUACGGGGUGCAGCAGGCGCGAAAACUUUACAAUGCUGGCAACAGCGAUAAGGGAACCUCGAGUGCCAGGUUACAAAUCUGGCUGUCGAGAUGCCUAAAAAGCAUUUCAUAGCAAGGGCCGGGCAAGACCGGUGCCAGCCGCCGCGGUAACACCGGCGGCUCGAGUGGUAACCGUUAUUAUUGGGUCUAAAGGGUCUGUAGCCGGCCGGAUAAGUCUCUUGAGAAAUCUGGCAGCUUAACUGUCAGGCUUUCAGGAGAUACUGUCUGGCUCGAGGCCGGGAGAGGUGAGAGGUACUUCAGGGGUAGGGGUGAAAUCUUGUAAUCCUUGAAGGACCACCAGUGGCGAAGGCGUCUCACCAGAACGGACCUGACGGCAAGGGACGAAAGCUAGGGGCACGAACCGGAUUAGAUACCCGGGUAGUCCUAGCCGUAAACGAUACUCGCUAGGUGUCGGCCACGGUGCGACCGUUGUCGGUGCCGUAGGGAAGCCGUGAAGCGAGCCACCUGGGAAGUACGGCCGCAAGGCUGAAACUUAAAGGAAUUGGCGGGGGAGCACCACAACGGGUGGAGCUUGCGGUUUAAUUGGAUUCAACGCCGGAAAUCUUACCGGGACCGACAGCAAUAUGAAGGCCAGGCUGAAGACUUUGCCGGAUUAGCUGAGAGGUGGUGCAUGGCCGUCGUCAGUUCGUACUGUGAAGCAUCCUGUUAAGUCAGGCAACGAGCGAGACCCA
rnacentral:rRNA from 1 species